UACGUAGGGGGCAAGCGUUGUCCGGAAUCAUUGUGCGUAAAGAGCGUGUAGGCGGCCUGAUAAGUCGGCUGUGAAAGUCAAGGGCUCAACCCUUGAAUGCCGGCCGAUACUGUCAGGCUAGAGUCCGGAAGAGGCGAGUGGAAUUCCUGGUGUAGCGGUGAAAUGCGCAGAUAUCAGGAGGAACACCUAUGGCGAAGGCAGCUCGCUGGGACGGUACUGACGCUGAGACGCGAAAGCGUGGGGAGCGAACAGG
rnacentral:rRNA from 1 species